UACGUAGGGUGCGAGCGUUGUCCGGAAUUAUUGGGCGUAAAGAGCUCGUAGGCGGCCUGUUGCGUCCGCUGUGAAAGCCCGGGGCUUAACCCCGGGUCUGCAGUGGAUACGGGCAGGCUAGAGGUAGGUAGGGGAGAAUGGAAUUCCCGGUGUAGCGGUGAAAUGCGCAGAUAUCGGGAGGAACACCGGUGGCGAAGGCGGUUCUCUGGGCCUUACCUGACGCUGAGGAGCGAAAGCGUGGGGAGCGAACAGG
rnacentral:rRNA from 1 species